GUCCCCAACCGAUGUGAGAGCCAAUUUUCUUUUUUCACAUAAACCCUUCGUUUCCAAACCCAUUUUGUUUCCAAACCUAUUUCCUGUAAACGACCUCCAAACCUUUUUUCUCUCGCUGUCACCAAACUGCCUUCUCCAUUUUCCCUCGUCGUCACCUCCGUCCAAGCUCUUCAACCCAACCGUCCAAGCACUAUUUUCACUUGCCGUCACCAAGCUCCCUCCACAUCCUCCAUGUAUUCCGGCCAGAAUUCCUCACCAAAGUUUCAGGUCAGAAUAGUAGCGCUCUACAUUACAUAUUUGGGGACCACAAAUUGGGCGUCAAGAUCAAGGUAUAUAGUUUUCGGGGCAUUAGGAUAUCAGUGGUUUUUUUGAAAGCUGAAGGCAGUUCAAUGAGGCAUAGAUUUGGCAAAUGAUAUUUUCAAUGAAGCAGUUCAGCUAGCACUGCUACUUGUAGUGGCUUGAUGCUGAGGGCAGUAUGCCGGUUAUAGUUGAGGGGAAAUGCAAAGGUAUCAUGCUAGCAGCUGCACUAGUGCAGUUAAUAAUAAUUCAAUUGGUGGGCCAUCGGCUAGAGACAUUAGAAGAAUUGAUUCAUCUUCUUGCCAACCAACCUUCCUGUAAGUUCAAGGUAAGAUACUUUCUACUGACCAUGUCCUUUUAGAAAAUCAUAUUAAAUUUUGAAUGUGAAUGUUCCACCUACGACAGGCUACUGCAUAUUCUGAAUUGUUGUGGUUGUGAAUUGUGAUUCAGCUUCUCAUGCUUCUUGUCAGCUACUAACUUGCAAUAGUGAUUAAUUUUCUUUACUUGAUGUCAUUCUGAACCUUGAAAGCUACUACAGAGAUGUUUCAUUUUUCUUGAGUAAUCAUAAUGCUGUAUUUUUCUGUUCAAGUAUCUAUUAAUUUCUUCUUCGGUUCUGUUAUUUUUUCAAC